rnacentral:lncRNA from 1 species
GUAUCGGACCCCCAAAACUUGUUUUCCUGUAGAAGCCAUCUUGUUGCCAACCAUGUGAGAAGCUGAUCGUCCCAGGAGAUAAAAACCAAAAUUGCGCAGGACUUUCCUUUUUCCCUGAACGAGGAGCAGCAAACACACAGCAGUGUGACAAGAUCUUAAGUAAAAGAUAAAGUGGAAAUGACAGCUGAGCUAUAAGCAGAUGAAGGCCGGAUUGUCACCAAUCUGUAAUCAGGAACCCCUAAGUUGGGCACAGGUCAUUUUGGUUCAAUUUGCUGCAAAUGUCAUUGCUGCCUUCCUCACCCCUCCACCCCCAUGUGUGCUGGCUCAGUUUGUGGUACCGAGCCCCAGCCCUAGUCACACCUCAGCAUCAUGCUCGGAGUCCCCUGUAAUGUCCAUUUCCUCCCCCACAGACACUGGGCUGAUGACCUGCACAGUGGAUGUUUGCCGGGUUUACCUGCUUACACCUUGACCAUCUCUCAGGAACCAACACGUCUCCCUGCCCAAUAGGUGUCACAGUGGAUGCAUGACCCCAGCUCAUGGAUCAGCCCUUCUGUCUGCUGGCCAUGGUGGUCCUGUCAGAGAUGGGCACUCGUGUUAGUCCAGCCAGAGAGAAUCCUGAACUUGUGCAGGAACAACAAGGAAAGAGGGACCCUCCAUCCAACCUGGAGCCUGGAGCUGCUGAUGGCCACUGCCAGAGAGAAUCUGCCUGAGACAAGCCAGCAGGGAGCCAUGCAGGGCCAAAGGGUGGAGGAGACCAGGUCCUGAUGGCACCACUCGAACUCCUGGAUACAGCCUUACCUGAAGCCUCUGAACUCUUCAUAUACAGGAGCUAAACAAUUCCUCUUUUUCAUUCAAGCUGAUGUGCGCUGAAUAUCUAACACUUUCAAGCACAGAAAAAGCAACGAAGGACAGUGAGGCCGGCUGCGGAGAGCGGCCCCCUCAGCUGCAUGCCAGAUACUGUCACCAGUUCCCAGCCGCACGCUCCCUUUCAAGCCUCUUUGAUGAGCAGACAGUCAGGAGCUGGGAGCCAUUGCAACCCUAUUCCUAUCAACUAGCUUGAAAGACCCAGCCGGUCCAGAGAGCCUCAAAAAUCACAGCGCUAGUGAAUCUCUGAAAUAACGGAUAUUCCCACCUUCGCCUUCUGGAUUUCAUAGAGCCCCAAGCUUUCAUUUAAAAUCCAUUUUAUAUGAAGUUAUCUGAAAAUGAACAAUAGGAGCCUCAAAGAGACGUCUCCCCAGACGCCUGCGUGAAGGAUGCUGGAAGAGAUCCAGCCACAAAGUCAGCUUGCCUGUUAGAUCAAAUACGCAGGUCCCAGCGGGUCCCAUCUCCUCGUCCUCGACAGGAAAGGGCCUCCUCCUGACACGGAGGUGGGGACCACGUUUCUUAGCCCCUCAGGUUGCCAUUUCAUGUCCUAGGUGAGGCUUCCAGCAACAGAAUAGCUGGAACAGACUUCACUCAACUGAACAAGUAUCUGCCGAGGGCCUACUGUGUGCUAGGCACGGACCAGGGCCUGGAUCUGGAGGGGGAAUGAGACCUAGGCCUUAGACCACUCUCACCAGGAGUUCAGCACAUAGUAGGUCCUUCACAAAUACCCAAGAGAUACUCAUCUAGAGGGCCUGUUACUCAAGCCUGGUGGGGGUGGACAGAAAAGAGCAAUGCUAUUCACUUCCUUUAUAGUCAUUAGGAAUUGUUUAAAUUGUAACAUGGCAAAUGACAGAUUCUUGACUAUUUUCCAUCGAAGAGGCCUAAAUGGCUAUUCCAGGUGAGCUUUCUCCCUUAGUUUGCCACAUCGAUGACUAAGCGUAUCUAGAUCUUGGAUUUCUAUCUUCAUAGCUGUGUGACCACAGACAAGUGGCUUAACUUCUCUGAUUCUGUGUCUGCCUCUGCAAAAUAAGAAUGAUCAUCAUUCCUACCUCAUGGGGCUGUU